rnacentral:rRNA from 1 species
UGGGGAAUAUUGCACAAUGGGCGCAAGCCUGAUGCAGCGACGCCGCGUGCGGGAUGACGGCCUUCGGGUUGUAAACCGCUUUUGAUCGGGAGCAAGCCUUCGGGUGAGUGUACCUUUCGAAUAAGCACCGGCUAACUACGUGCCAGCAGCCGCGGUAAUACGUAGGGUGCAAGCGUUAUCCGGAAUUAUUGGGCGUAAAGGGCUCGUAGGCGGUUCGUCGCGUCCGGUGUGAAAGUCCAUCGCUUAACGGUGGAUCUGCGCCGGGUACGGGCGGGCUGGAGUGCGGUAGGGGAGACUGGAAUUCCCGGUGUAACGGUGGAAUGUGUAGAUAUCGGGAAGAACACCAAUGGCGAAGGCAGGUCUCUGGGCCGUUACUGACGCUGAGGAGCGAAAGCGUGGGGAGCGAACAGGAUUAGAUACCCUGGUAGUCCACGCCGUAAACGGUGGAUGCUGGAUGUGGGGCCCGUUCCACGGGUUCCGUGUCGGAGCUAACGCGUUAAGCAUCCCGCCUGGGGAGUACGGCCGCAAGGCUAAAACUCAAAGAAAUUGACGGGGGCCCGCACAAGCGGCGGAGCAUGCGGAUUAAUUCGAUGCAACGCGAAGAACCUUACCUGGGCUUGACAUGUUCCCGACAGCCGUAGAGAUGCGGCCUCCCUUCGGGGCGGGUUCACAGGUGGUGCAUGGUCGUCGUCAGCUCGUGUCGUGAGAUGUUGGGUUAAGUCCCGCAACGAGCGCAACCCUCGCCCUGUGUUGCCAGCACGUCAUGGUGGGAACUCACGGGGGACCGCCGGGGUCAACUCGGAGGAAGGUGGGGAUGACGUCAGAUCAUCAUGCCCCUUACGUCCAGGGCUUCACGCAUGCUACAAUGGCCGGUACAACGGGAUGCGACACGGCGACGUGGAGCGGAUCCCUGAAAACCGGUCUCAGUUCGGAUUGGAGUCUGCAACCCGACUCCAUGAAGGCGGAGUCGCUAGUAAUCGCGGAUCAGCAACGCCGCGGUGAAUGCGUUCCC